rnacentral:rRNA from 1 species
UACGGGGGGGGCAAGCGUUGUUCGGAAUUACUGGGCGUAAAGGGCGCGUAGGCGGUUGGAUAAGUCAGCUGUGAAAACCACGGGCUUAACUCGUGGCCUGCAGUUGAGACUGUCUGGCUUGAGUGUGGGAGAGGAGAGUGGAAUUCCUGGUGUAGCGGUGAAAUGCGUAGAUAUCAGGAGGAACACCAAUAGCGAAGGCAGCUCGCUGGGACGGUACUGACGCUAAGGCGCGAAAGCGUGGGGAGCGAACAGG